UACGUAGGGUGCGAGCGUUGUCCGGGAUUAUUGGGCGUAAAGGGCUCGUAGGCGGUCUGUCGCGUCGAAAGUGAAAACUCAGGGCUUAACCCUGAGCCUGCUUCCGAUACGGGCAGACUAGAGUACUGCAGGGGAGACUGGAAUUCCUGGUGUAGCGGUGAAAUGCGCAGAUAUCAGGAAGAACACCCGUGGCUAAGGCGGCUCUCUAGUACGGUACUGACGCUGAGACGCGAAAGCGUGGGGAGCGAACAGG
rnacentral:rRNA from 1 species